rnacentral:rRNA from 1 species
AUUGAACGCUGGCGGCAGGCCUAACACAUGCAAGUCGAACGGUAACAGGACGCUAGGAUCCCUUCGGGGUGACUUUGUCGCUGACGAGUGGCGGACGGGUGAGUAACGCGUAGGAAUCUACCUGGUAGUGGGGGACAACUUGGGGAAACUCAAGCUAAUACCGCAUACGCCCUACGGGGGAAAGCGUGGGAUCUUCGGACCACGCGCUAUCAGAUGAGCCUGCGUUAGAUUAGCUAGUUGGUGAGGUAAAGGCUCACCAAGGCGACGAUCUAUAGCUGGUCUGAGAGGAUGAUCAGCCACACUGGAACUGAGACACGAUCCAG